rnacentral:rRNA from 1 species
UACGAAGGGGGCGAGCGUUGUUCGGAUUUACUGGGCGUAAAGGGCGCGCAGGCGGCUCAUUUUGUCAGGCGUGAAAGCCCCGGGCUUAACCUGGGAACUGCGUUUGAUACGGAUGGGCUAGAGUUCGGGAGAGGAGAGUGGAAUUCCCAGUGUAGAGGUGAAAUUCGUAGAUAUUGGGAAGAACACCGGUGGCGAAGGCGGCUCACUGGCCCGGUACUGACGCUGAGGUGCGAAAGCGUGGGGAGCAAACAGG